GACGAACGCUGGCGGCGUGCUUAACACAUGCAAGUCGAACGGAAAGGCCCUGCUUUUGUGGGGUGCUCGAGUGGCGAACGGGUGAGUAACACGUGAGUAACCUGCCCUUGACUUUUGGAUAACUUCAGGAAACUGGGGCUAAUACCGGAUAGGAGCUCCUGCUGCAUGGUGGGGGUUGGAAAGUUUCGGCGGUUGGGGAUGGACUCGCGGCUUAUCAGCUUGUUGGUGGGGUAGUGGCUUACCAAGGCUUUGACGGGUAGCCGGCCUGAGAGGGUGACCGGCCACAUUGUGACUGAGAUACGGCCCAGACUCCUACGGGAGGCAGCAGUGGGGAAUAUUGCACAAUGGGCGGAAGCCUGAUGCAGCAACGCCGCGUGCGGGAUGACGGCCUUCGGGUUGUAAACCGCUUUCGCCUGUGACGAAGCGUGAGUGACGGUAAUGGGUAAAGAAGCACCGGCUAACUACGUG
rnacentral:rRNA from 1 species